GAGGGUAUAGCUUAGUGGUAGAGUGCAUGCUUAGCACGCACAAGGUCCUGGGUUAAAUCCCCAGUACUUCCA
rnacentral:tRNA from 1 species